UGUUGAAGUGUCAGAAAAAUGUGUUGAAUUUAGGAUUCAAUUAUGGGAGUUCCCCUUCAAUAA
rnacentral:tRNA from 1 species